rnacentral:rRNA from 1 species
ACGGCGAGUGAAACGGGAAGAGCUCAAAUUUGAAAUCUGGCAUUCAUUAGAGUGUCCGAAUUGUCAUUGAGAGGGUCUUCUUUAGACACAUUGGUAUGGUCCAAGUUCUCAGGAAAGGGACAACAAAGAGGGUGACAUUCCCGUCUAGAUCAUGCUGAGGUGUCCGCAUAGAAGAAGGCUCUAAGAGUCGGAUUGUUUGGGAAUGCAGUCCAAAAUGGGUGGUACAUUUCAUCUAAAGCUAAAUAUAUGCAAGAGACCGAUAGCGAACAAGUACCGUGAGGGAAAGAUGAAAAGAACUUUGAAAAGAGAGUUAAACAGUGCGUGAAAUUGUUGAAAGGGAAACGCUUGAAACCAGUCAUGUGGUUGGGAAAUCAGUCUCUGACGAGGGGGAAUGGGGGAGGUGUGGACCGCAAGGCCGCUCUUUUUCAUAUCUCUUUCGGCAGGGAUGCACUUUUUCUUCUGCAGGUCAACAUCAGUUUGCUUUGCCGGACAAAACUUGGGGGAAGGUGACAGCUUAGGCUGUGUUAUAGCCCUCGAGCGAUACGGUGGGGUGGACUGAGGUUUUCGCAGCAUGUGCUCUCGGGCAAGGCUGAUUGGGUGCUAUGAGAUCGUUCAGGGUACAAUACAUGUAUUUUGCUCUGUGUCUUUUUUAUACUCGCUCAAUUGGGCU